rnacentral:rRNA from 1 species
UACGUAGGGGGCGAGCGUUGUCCGGAGUUACUGGGCGUAAAGCGCACGCAGGCGGUCUGCUAAGUUUGGAGUGACAGUUGGUGGCUUAACUGCCAAAGUGCUUCGAAAACUGACAGACUUGAGGGCUUCAGAGGGACACGGAAUUCCGGGUGGAGUGGUGAAAUGCGUAGAGAUCCGGAGGAACACCAAAGGCGAAGGCAGUGUCCUGGGGAGUACCUGACGCUCGAGGUGCGAAAGCCAGGGGAGCGAACGGGA